UACAGAGGGUGCGAGCGUUAAUCGGAAUUACUGGGCGUAAAGCGUGCGUAGACGGCUAUCUAAGUCGGGUGUGAAAGCCCCGGGCUCAACCUGGGAAUUGCAUUCGAGACUGAAUAGCUAGGGUGCGGUAGAGGGAAGCGGAAUUUCCGGUGUAGUGGUGAAAUGCGUAGAUAUCGGGAAGAACACCGGUGGCGAAGGCGGUCUGCUGGGGUAAUGCUGACACUGAUGCGCGACAGCGUGGGGAGCAAACAGG
rnacentral:rRNA from 1 species